rnacentral:rRNA from 1 species
GAUGAACGCUAGCGGCAGGCCUAAUACAUGCAAGUCGAACGGUGUCUUCGGACAUAGUGGCGCACGGGUGCGUAACACGUAUGCAACCUACCUUACAUUGGGGGAUAGCCUUUCGAAAGGGAGAUUAAUACCGCAUAAGACAGUAGCUGGGCAUCCAGCAGCUGUUAAAGAUUUAUCGAUGUAAGCUGGGCAUGCGUCCAAUUAGCUAGUUGGUGAGGUAACGGCUCACCAAGGCAAUGAUUGGUAGGGGAACUGAGAGGUCAAUCCCCCACCCUGGCAAUGAGAUACGGGCCAGACUCCUACGGGAGGCAGCAGUAGGGAAUAUUGGGCAAUGGACGCAAGUCUGACCCAGCCAUGCCGCGUGCAGGAUGAAGGCGUUAUCCGUUGUAAACUGCUUUUAUACAGGAAGAAACGACUCUUGCGAGAGGCAUUGACGGUACUGUAUGAAUAAGCACCGGCUAACUCCGUGCCAGCCGCCGCAGUAACAC